UAUAAAAAGGAGGGGGUGUGUGCAUUAGGAAGCAUGAGAGGCUAAGAUGCAAUUUAGAGAAAAUUGCAACUUUGGGCCCAAAGGUUUGAAUAAUUAAAUUCAAACCUAUAGUUUUUUUUAAUAUAAUUUUGGGACUCACAAUCCCAUUUUUAUAUUAUUUUUCUCUCUUCCUCUCACGUUGCUCGGCGUUUUCUCGCAAGGGGGGAUUAUUUUCUUUUUUCUUCAGAUUAUAUUGACAAAGAUAGUGGUGAAAAAGGAGUUGUGAAGGGGAACUUGUUAUUCAAGACACAAGGAGCGAGUCCGGCCGAGAAAGCACCAGAGGUGUAAUUAUGGUGUAUGAGACACCAUCUUUUACGUUGCCUCUUAUUUUAGAUUAUACAAUGUAUCUUGUGCCAACUUAGGACAUAUCUUCUUUGUGAAGCAUGUAAACUCUAAUCCUUUUUAUUAAAAGUAUUUAUAUGACCAAGAGGAUUAUGUCUGUCGCUCUUGAUUUAUGAUCUGA